AUUGAACGCUGGCGGCAUGCCUUACACAUGCAAGUCGAACGGUAACAGGUCUUCGGACGCUGACGAGUGGCGAACGGGUGAGUAAUACAUCGGAACGUGCCCAGUCGUGGGGGAUAACUACUCGAAAGAGUAGCUAAUACCGCAUACGAUCUGAGGAUGAAAGCGGGGGACCUUCGGGCCUCGCGCGAUUGGAGCGGCCGAUGGCAGAUUAGGUAGUUGGUGGGAUAAAAGCUUACCAAGCUGACGAUCUGUAGCUGGUCUGAGAGGACGACCAGCCACACUGGGACUGAGACACGGCCCAGACUCCUACGGGAGGCAGCAGUGGGGAAUUUUGGACAAUGGGCGAAAGCCUGAUCCAGCAAUGCCGCGUGCAGGAUGAAGGCCUUCGGGUUGUAAACUGCUUUUGUACGGAACGAAAAAGCUUCUCCUAAUACGAGAGGCCCAUGACGGUACCGUAAGAAUAAGCACCGGCUAACUACGUGCCAGCAGCCGCCGUAA
rnacentral:rRNA from 1 species